CUUUUCUUCACCGAAGUCGCCAACACCACUGGCGCCUCUGAGACCGGCUCUACCAUAGAGACGGGAUAGAAGAGCAACGGGAGCGGCGCGCGGAAUGCUGGGAUAGUGGAAGUCCGCCCAGCGCUACCUGCGGGUUUAGCCGUCCGUCAGAGUUAGAGGCGGGUUAUUUUGAGCAUUUACCGUUUUAUCUGGACUCUCUGAAUUGACAAAUUUGGCGUCCGGGGGGUCACAGCUAAUUAGCCAGCCAUGAAGACUGAAGAGGCACGUCUACAUACCAAGUUUGUAAGACAUCCUUUCAGGGAUCUCACAUUGGUUUCUAUGGGAACAAGAAUGGCUCUGAAGAGGAGCAUUUUAAGAACUCUUUUCACAUUCAGUGACUGCUAACUGAACUGCAAAUUCUGUUUGUUAACGGUUUUUAACUCUUAAAUUUUAACACAGAAAUAAA